rnacentral:ncRNA from 1 species
CUCUGUGCACGAUUGAGGCUCAGGGCGGAAAGAG